UGCACUGCAAAAACGAUGGUGGGUUAUACCCACCAUAUCUGUGGAAGGUACCCACUUUUUGGUUUUCCACCAAUGUGGGUGAAACCCCCUGGUGUUAUAUUCCCCCCUUUGGUGGAAAAUACCCACCAUCAAUGUGUAAUAAUUACACUCAUAAUAAUAAUGUAAUAAUUAAUCUAGUAAUGCCACGCCCACUGCGCAUGCGCAGUUCAGUUCCAAAUUAAUCCAGCUGCAAGCCUGCAAAUGGCUUCCUUCUCUUUGUCCUCCAUUACUGCCAGUCUAUUUUUUGGCCGUUUAGCUCUUAGUUUUGCCUCUGUAUUCUUUGAAAUCCCCAGAAAAUUAUCUCAUUUUCGAAGCCCGCUUCCAUGUCAGCAGCUAUUUCUGUGACUCUUCCUUCAGGCUGUCCCCUUAGGUUAUGAUUUGUGUCUAGACUGAUUGAGUAAGACUUGAUAUUGUUGUUAUAAAACUCUCAUGACAUGGCAUGCUAAUAAUCAAUAUAAAAGUACUCUCACUCUCUGCUUUCUCUUUUCCUCUAAGACUACCAAUAGCUGUGUUCAAAAUGGAUUGCGUCCAUACAAGACUUGCUUAUUGAUUUUGUUUUGAUGUGUAUAGGUUUUAACUUCUUUUCAAGUGAAUUGUAUCUGAUUACAUCAUUUUUUGAUAUGGUUUUAACUUCUUUUUAAGUGUAUUGUGUCUCUGAGUGUACAAGACUGUAUCAUUUAA
rnacentral:lncRNA from 1 species